GCAAGCACAGUUAUUAUUCCUGAUUUGAAGGUGAUAAAUUUGUUGUUUAAAAAAAAAAAAAAAAAGAAAAAGAAAAGAAUGCAGUAGCUGAGCAAUUCAAAAAGCCACUUCUUUGGAAAUCUGACCUGCUGUGAUACCUGUGCUGCCCUUUCCACUCAGCUAUUCCUGAAUCCGAGCUGUUUAUGGUACGGCUGUAGCCUGAAGGAAUUUUUCAUUCCCUUCCUUGAUGCAAAAAGACCCCGAGUUGGC
rnacentral:lncRNA from 1 species